GAUGAACGCUGGCGGCGUGCCUAAUACAUGCAAGUCGAGCGAACAGAUGAGGAGCUUGCUCCUCUGACGUUAGCGGCGGACGGGUGAGUAACACGUGGAUAACCUACCUAUAAGACUGGGAUAACUACGGGAAACCGGAGCUAAUACCGGAUAAUAUAUUGAAUCGCAUGGUUCAAUAGUGAAAUACGGUUUUUCUGUCACUUAUAGAUGGAUCCGCGCCGCAUUAGCUAGUUGGUAAGGUAACGGCUUACCAAGGCAACGAUGCGUAGCCGACCUGAGAGGGUGAUAGGCCACACUGGAAGUGAGACACGGUCCAGACUACUACGGGAGGCAGCAGUAGGGAAUCUUCCGCAAUGGGCGAAAGCAUGACGGAGCAACGGCGCGUGAGUGAUGAAGGUCUUCGGAUCGUAAAACUCUGUUAUUAGGGAAGAACAAAUGUGUAAGUAACUAUGCACGUAUUGACGGUACCUAAUCAGAAAGCCACGGCUAACUACGUG
rnacentral:rRNA from 1 species